GAUGAACGCUAGCUACAGGCUUAACACAUGCAAGUCGAGGGGCAUCAUGACGAAAGCUUGCUUUUGUUGAUGGCGACCGGCGCACGGGUGAGUAACGCGUAGGUAAUCUGCCGCAAAGAUGGGGACAACAGUUCGAAAGGACUGCUAAUACCGAAUGUUGUAAGUAAUUCGCAUGAGUAACUUACUAAAGAUUUAUCGCUUUGCGAGGAGCCUGCGUCCGAUUAGGUAGUUGGUAAGGUAAGAGCUUACAAAGCCGACGAUCGGUAACCGGUCUGAGAGGAUGAACGGUCACAUUGGAACUGAGACACGGUCCAGACUCC
rnacentral:rRNA from 1 species